rfam:Cavia porcellus supercont2_30 genomic scaffold, whole genome shotgun sequence.
GGGGAUUUAGCUCAGCGGCAUAAGCGCCUGCCUUGCAAGCAGGCAGUCCUGAGUUCAAUCCCCG